UACGUAGGGUGCGAGCGUUGUCCGGAAUUAUUGGGCGUAAAGAGCUUGUAGGCGGUCUGUCGCGCCUGCUGUGAAAAUCCGGGGCUCAACCCCGGACUUGCAGUGGGUACGGGCAGACUAGAGUGUGGUAGGGGAGACUGGAAUUCCUGGUGUAGCGGUGAAAUGCGCAGAUAUCAGGAGGAACACCGAUGGCGAAGGCAGGUCUCUGGGCCACUACUGACGCUGAGAAGCGAAAGCAUGGGGAGCGAACAGG
rnacentral:rRNA from 1 species